AUAGCUUGCCAAUUUUAGAAUAUUCUGAGUAACAAAAGCCACAGCGUCUCACGGAGCGCCCAUACAAACACCUAACAUCAUCAUGGGUGCCGACUGGAACGCAUGGAAUAUUUAGGCUACCUGUGUUGGUUUGCGUGUGAUGACUGGGGGCCUUGCCUUUUCUUACCGGUAGUGGAGAGCACAGUGCUGGCGAAAAACAACGCCGAGAAACUGGCGCUUGAUGGUCCGGAGCUCUUGCCGCAGAAGAUCCUCGUACGGCAGCUCCACCGAGGAAAAUACCACGGCGCCGAAGAUGAGAUACAACACGUAACCGAGGACCAGAAAUAAGAAAUACCAUGUUGAUUUAUUGCUUUGAAUCAGACGCACGCAGGAGUUGCUCUUCACUUUCAUUGAGCCCUGCGCCGGAGUGAUGUGGCGAAUGAAGUCGGAGGUUGGACCUGUGACGUCGAUGCUUUUUCUCCGUCUCCUCUCAGGUGGCUAUAGAGCCGACAGAGGAAACGCAGCCUACAAGGUCCACAGUUCUGUGCCAAAUUGAAAAUCGAAAAGUGUAUUUUUAUGAAGCGCGAUGAAAAUUAACGUAGGCUACUAGAGUAUAGCAAUUAACAGAGCAACCAGCCACUUCAGAUAUCAUUGUGUUUGCAGUAUGCAUGUCACCUGAAUGAAUUAAAAAGAAAAAUAUACCAACACAUAAUUAAUGGCAAAAAAAAACGAAAUAGCUAAAUCACGUCUUUUUAUUUCACGUGCAGCCCCAUCACAGAUACACAGCACUUCAGCUAAAGUUCAAUUACCGAUCGCCGAUGUGAAAUACCCUUACACAAGUAAUAAACAUAAGAAUGCAUGUACAUGCACCAGUCGCUGAAUAAGACAUGCCUGUAAUAUCUAAGAUAUUAAAGCCUGCGCUGC